rnacentral:rRNA from 1 species
GGUGAAUGCUGGCGGCGUGGAUAAGUCAUGCAAGUCAAGGGGGCCCGCAAGGGCAACCGGCAAACGAGGUAGUAACACGUAGGUAGACCCCCCAGAGUCGGGCAUAGCCAGCCGAAAGGUUGGGUAAUUCCCGAUAGUCCCGAAAGGGUAAAGGUUUUUUCGCUCUGGGAGUUGCCUGCGUAGUAUCAGCUAGUUGGUAGGGUAAUGGCCUACCAAGGCUACGACGCUUAGGGGAGCUGAGAGGCUGACCUCCACCGAUGGAACUGCGACACGGUCCAUACUCCUACGGGAGGCUGCAGACGAGAAUAUUCCGCAAUGGGCGAAAGCCUGACGGAGCGACGCCGCGUGAUUGAUGAAGUGCUUCGGUACGUAAAGAUCUUUUAUCGGGGACGAAGUUUAUUGACGGUACCCGAUGAAUAAGGGGCUCCUAACUCUGUGCCAGCAGCGCGGUAAU